rnacentral:rRNA from 1 species
UGGUCUGAGAGGAUGAUCAGCCACACUGGAACUGAGACACGGUCCAGACUCCGUACGGGAGGCAGCAGGUGGGGUAAUUUUGCGCAAUGGGACGAAAGCCUGACGCAGCAACGCCGCGUGUGUGACGAAGGCCCUAGGGUUGUAAAGCACUGUGGGAAGGGAAGAAAAAACGGGGGUUGUACCCCGUCUUGACGGUACCUUGUUAGAAAGCACCGGCUAACUCCGUGCCAGCAGCCGCGGUAAUACGGAGGGUGCAAGCGUUGUUCGGAAUUAUUGGGCGUAAAGGGCGUGUAGGUGGCUUGCCAAGUCUGGUGUGAAAGCCCACGGCUCAACCGUGGAACUGCAUUGGAAACUGGCAAGCUCGAGUGUUGGAGGGGGUCGCGGAAUUCCCGGUGUAGAGGUGAAAUUCGUAGAUAUCGGGAGGAACACCAGUGGCGAAG